rnacentral:lncRNA from 1 species
AAGAAGUCAGGCCGGAUUAAGCCAUAGUACGGUAAGAGCUAUGCUGCCUGUGAGCCCCGUCUAAGGACGUAAAAUGAAGUCAGGCCGAAAGCCACGGCUUGAGCAAACCGUGCUGCCUGUAGCUCCAUCGUGGGGAUGUAAAAACCUGGGAGGCUGCAACCCAUGGAAGCUGUACGCAUGGGGUAGCAGACUAGUGGUUAGAGGAGACCCCUCCCGAAACAUAACGCAGCAGCGGGGCCCAACACCAGGGGAAGCUGUACCCUGGUGGUAAGGACUAGAGGUUAGAGGA